rnacentral:lncRNA from 1 species
CUCAUAUAUCAGACUCACAUCAGACUCACAUCAGACUCAUAUAUCAGACUCACAUCAGACUCAUAUCAGACUCAUAUCAGACUCAUAUCAGACUCAUAUAUCAGACUCAUAUAUCAGACUCAUAUCAGACUCACAUCAGACUCAUAUAUCAGACUCAUAUAUCAGACUCAUAUAUCAGACUCAUAUCAGACUCACAUCAGACUCAUAUCAGACUCAUAUAUCAGACUCAUAUAUCAGACUCAUAUCAUCAGACUCAUAUAUCAGACUCAUAUCAGACUCAUAUAUCAGACUCAUAUAUCAGACUCAUAUAUCAGACUCAUAUCAGACUCAUAUAUCAGACUCACAUCAGACUCAUAUAUCAGACUCAUAUCAGACUCAUAUAUCAGACUCAUAUAUCAGACUCAUAUCAGACUCAUAUCAGACUCAUAUCAGACUCAUAUAUCAGACUCAUAUCAGACUCAAUCAGACUCAUAUAUCAGACUCAUAUCAGACUCAUAUCAGACUCAUAUAUCAGACUCAUAUAUCAGACUCACAUCAGACUCAUAUAUCAGACUCACAUCAGACUCAUAUAUCAGACUCACAUAUCAGACUCAUAUCAGACUCAUAUAUCAGACUCAUAUAUCAGACUCAUAUCAGACUCAUAUCAGACUCAUAUAUCAGACUCAUCAUAUCAGACUCACAUAUCAGACUCAACAGACUCAUAUCAGACUCAUAUCAGACUCAUAUCAGACUCAUAUACAGACUCAUAUCAGACUCAUAUAUCAGACUCAAACUCAUAUAUAUCAGACUCAUAUCAGACUCAAUCAACUCAUAUAUCAGACUCACAUCAGACUCAUAUAUCAGACUCAAUCAGACUCAUAUAGACUCAUAUAUCAGACUCAUAUCAGACUCAUAUCAGACUCAUAUAUCAGACUCAUAUCAAAGACUCAUAUAUCAGACUCACAUCAGACUCAAAUAUCAGACUCAUAUCAGACUCAUAUCAGACUCACAUAUCAGACAGACUCACAUCAUCAGACUCAUAUAUCAGACUCACAUAUCAGACUCACAUCAGACUCAUAUCAGACUCAUAUCAGACUCAUAUAUCAGACUCACAUCAGACUCAUAUAUCAGACUCAUAUCAGACUCAUAUCAGACUCAUAUAUCAGACUCACAUCAGACUCACAUAUCAGACUCACAUCAGACUCAUAUAUCAGACACAUAUAUCAGACUCAUAUCAGACUCAUAUCAGACUCAUAUCAGACUCACAUCAGACUCAUAUCAGACUCACAUCAGACUCAUAUAUCAGACUCACAUCAGACUCAUAUAUCAGACUCAUAUAUCAGACUCACAUCAGACUCACAUCAGACUCACAUAUCAGACUCACAUCAGACUCAUAUAUCAGACACAUAUAUCAGACUCAUAUAUCAGACUCAUAUAUCAGACUCAUACACAAUCAGACUCACAUCAGACUCACAUCAGACUCACAAAUAUCAGACUCAUAUCAAAUCAGACUCACAUCAGACUCAUAUAUCAGACUCAUAUAUCAGACUCAUAUAUCAGACUCAUAUAUCAGACUCAUAUAUCAGACUCAUAUAUCAGACUCACAUCAGACUCACAUCAGACUCAUAUAUCAGACUCAUAUAUCAGACUCAUAUCAGAGGGAAGACUGCAGCGCUCGCCGUCUCCACCGCUCUCUCCUCACACGUUUGGCAGCAGAUGAAAGACGGCGUUAACUCUCCGCUGGAUCCUUUCCAGUCUGAUAAAUCUGUGGAUUCAUCUCCAGAUCCCUGA